AACGAACGCUGGCGGCAGGCCUAACACAUGCAAGUCGAGCGCUCUAGCAAUAGAGAGCGGCGCACGGGUGAGUAACGCGUAGGAAUCUACCUUGUAGUACGGAACAACAGUUGGAGACGACUGCUAAUACCGUAUACGCACUACGGGGGAAAGAAUUUCGCUAUAAGAUGAGCCUGCGUUAGAUUAGCUAGUUGGUGAGGUAAUGGCUCACCAAGGCUCCGAUCUAUAGCUGGUCUGAGAGGAUGAUCAGCCACACUGGGACGGAGACACGGCCCGGACUCCUCGGGGAGGCAGCAGUGGGGAAUAUUGGGCAAUGGGCGCAAGCCUGACCCAGCCAUGCCGCGUGAGUGAUGACGGCCUUAGGGUUGUAAAGCUCUUUUAGUGGUGAGGAUGAUGACGGUAACCACAGAAAAAGCCCCGGCUAACUUCGUGCCAGCCGCCGCGGUAA
rnacentral:rRNA from 1 species